GUUUGGGCAGUGGAGACAUUGUCCUUCAGUUAGGCUGGCCCCAGAACAGGUGCUGCAUGGCUGUCGUCAGCUCGUGUCGUGAGAUGUUGGGUUAAGUCCCGCAACGAGCGCAACCCUCGCCCUUAGUUGCCAGCAUUUAGUUGGGCACUCUAAGGGGACUGCCGGUGAUAAGCCGAGAGGAAGGUGGGGAUGACGUCAAGUCCUCAUGGCCCUUACGGGCUGGGCUACACACGUGCUACAAUGGUGGUGACCAGUGGGCAGCGAGACCAGCGAUGUCGAGCUAAUCUCCAAAAGCCAUCUCAGUUCGGAUUGCACUCUGCAACUCGAGUGCAUGAAGUUGGAAUCGCUAGUA
rnacentral:rRNA from 1 species